rnacentral:rRNA from 1 species
GACGAACGCUGGCGGCGUGCUUAACACAUGCAAGUCGAACGGAAAGGCCCUGCUUUUGUGGGGUGCUCGAGUGGCGAACGGGUGAGUAACACGUGAGUAACCUGCCCUUGACUUUGGGAUAACUUCAUGAAACUGGGGCUAAUACCGGAUAGGAGCUCCUGCUGCAUGGUGGGGGUUGGAAAGUUUCGGCGGUUGGGGAUGGACUCGCGGCUUAUCAGCUUGUUGGUGGGGUAGUGGAUUACCAAGGCUUUGACGGGUAGCCGGCCUGAGAGGGUGACCGGCCACAUUGGGACUGAGAUACGGCCCAGACUCCUACGGGAGGCAGCAGUGGGGAAUAGUGCACAAUGGGCGGAAGCCUGAUGCAGCAACGCCGCGUGCGGGAUGACGGCCUUCGGGUUGUAAACCGCUUUCGCCUGUGACGAAGCGUGAGUGACGGUAAUGGGUAAAGAAGCACCGGCUAACUACGUG